rnacentral:rRNA from 1 species
CUACGUGCCAGCAGCCGCGGUAAUACGGAAGGUCCAGGCGUUAUCCGGAUUUAUUGGGUUUAAAGGGAGCGUAGGCGGAUUAUUAAGUCAGUGGUGAAAGACGGUGGCUCAACCAUCGUUAGCCAUUGAAACUGGUAGUCUUGAGUGCAGACAGGGAUGCUGGAACUCGUGGUGUAGCGGUGAAAUGCUUAGAUAUCACGAUGAACUCCGAUCGCGAAGGCAGGUGUCCGGGCUGCAACUGACGCUGAGGCUCGAAAGUGUGGGUAUCAAACAGGAUUAGAUACCCUGGUAGUCCACACAGUAAACGAUGUAUACUCGCGGUUUGCGAUAUAUUGUAAGCCGCCAAGCGAAAGCAUUAAGUAUACCACCUGGGGAGUACGCCGGCAACGGUGAAACUCAAAGGAAUUGACGGGGACCCGCACAAGCGGUGGAGCAUGUGGUUUAAUUCGAUGCAACGCGAAGAACCUUACCUACUCUUGACAUCCAGA